UGGCUCUCGCAUCGAUGAAGAACGCAGCGAAAUGCGAUAAGUAAUGUGAAUUGCAGAAUUCAGUGAAUCAUCGAAUCUUUGAACGCACCUUGCGCUCCUUGGUAUUCCGAGGAGCAUGCUCGUUUGAGUGUCAUGGUAUUCUCAACCCUACCACUUUUUUUUAUUAAAUGUGGUUGGGCUUGGACUUGGAGGCUUGCAGGCAUCUGUGAUUUUUUAUUAAAUCCAGAGAUCAGCUUCUCUUAAAUGCAUUAGCUUGAAUAGAACCAAGCAUGAUUCAACGUGAUAAUUGUCUACGUUGCUUCAUCUCGGUGAAUUAAAUGUUCGAGCUUCUAAUCGUCCUUCGGGACAAUUAUCUGAACAUCUGACCUCAAAUCGAGUAGGACUACCCGCUGA
rnacentral:misc_RNA from 1 species